rnacentral:rRNA from 1 species
GCUUGUCUCAAAGAUUAAGCCAUGCAUGUCUCAGUAUAAGCUUUUACACGGCGAAACUGCGAAUGGCUCAUUAAAACAGUUAUCGUUUCUUUGGUGGUUAUUGAUUACAUGGAUAGCCGUGGUAAUUCUAGAGCUAAUACAUGCGAAAAGACCCGACUUUUGGAAGGGUUGUAUUUAUUAGAUACAAAACCAAUACGGAGCAAUCCGUUUCUUGGUGAUUCAUAAUAACUUUGCGGAUCGCAUGGCCUUGUGCCGGCGAUGAAUCAUUCAAAUUUCUGCCCUAUCAACUUUCGAUGGUAAGGUAUUGGCCUACCAUGGUUACCACGGGUAACGGGGAAUUAGGGUUCGGUUCCGGAGAGGGGGCCUGAGAAAUGGCCACCACAUCCAAGGAAGGCAGCAGG